rnacentral:rRNA from 1 species
AGAGUUUGAUCAUGGCUCAGAUUGAACGCUGGCGGCAGGCUUAACACAUGCAAGUCGAGCGGAGAUGAGGUGCUUGCACCUUAUCUUAGCGGCGGACGGGUGAGUAAUGCUUAGGAAUCUGCCUAUUAGUGGGGGACAACAUUCCGAAAGGAAUGCUAAUACCGCAUACGCCCUACGGGGGAAAGCAGGGGAUCUUCGGACCUUGCGCUAAUAGAUGAGCCUAAGUCGGAUUAGCUAGUUGGUGGGGUAAAGGCCUACCAAGGCGACGAUCUGUAGCGGGUCUGAGAGGAUGAUCCGCCACACUGGGACUGAGACACGGCCCAGACUCCUACGGGAGGCAGCAGUGGGGAAUAUUGGACAAUGGGCGCAAGCCUGAUCCAGCCAUGCCGCGUGUGUGAAGAAGGCCUUUUGGUUGUAAAGCACUUUAAGCGAGGAGGAGGCUACUUAGAUUAAUACUCUAGGAUAGUGGACGUUACUCGCAGAAUAAGCACCGGCUAACUCUGUGCCAGCAGCCGCGGUAAUACAGAGGGUGCAAGCGUUAAUCGGAAUUACUGGGCGUAAAGCGCGCGUAGGCGGUUUGUUAAGUCGGAUGUGAAAUCCCUGGGCUCAACCUAGGCACUGCAUCCGAUACUGGCAAACUAGAGUGUGGGAGAGGAAGGUAGAAUUCCAGGUGUAGCGGUGAAAUGCGUAGAGAUCUGGAGGAAUACCGAUGGCGAAGGCAGCCUUCUGGCCUAACACUGACGCUGAGGUGCGAAAGCAUGGGGAGCAAACAGGAUUAGAUACCCUGGUAGUCCAUGCCGUAAACGAUGUCUACUAGCCGUUGGGGUCUUUGAGGCUUUAGUGGCGCAGCUAACGCGAUAAGUAGACCGCCUGGGGAGUACGGCCGCAAGGUUAAAACUCAAAUGAAUUGACGGGGGCCCGCACAAGCGGUGGAGCAUGUGGUUUAAUUCGAUGCAAC